rnacentral:rRNA from 1 species
GACGAACGCUGGCGGCGUGCUUAACACAUGCCAGUCGAACGGAAAGGCCCUGCUUUUGUGGGGUGCUCGAGUGGCGAACGGGUGAGUAACACGUGAGCAACCUGCCCUUGACUUUGGGAUAACUUCAGGAAACUGGGGCUAAUACCGGAUAGGAGCUCCUGCUGCAUGGUGGGGGUUGGAAAGUUUCGGCGGUUGGGGAUGGACUCGCGGCUUAUCAGCUUGUUGGUGGGGUAGUGGCUUACCAAGGCUUUGACGGGUAGCCGGCCUGAGAGGGUGACCGGCCACAUUGGGACUGAGAUACGGCCCAGACUCCUACGGGAGGCAGCAGUGGGGAAUAUUGCACAAUGGGCGGAAGCCUGAUGCAGCAACGCCGCGUGCGGGAUGACGGCCUUCGGGUUGUAAACCGCUUUCGCCUGUGACGAAGCGUGAGUGACGGUAAUGGGUAAAGAAGCACCGGCUAACUACGUG